rnacentral:rRNA from 1 species
AUGCAGCAGCAGGCAAGGGCAAGGGCAGCGGCAGGGGAGGACAGCAGCAGCAGCAGCCUGCACACGGUGAACGCGGCCGCCGUCGUUCUGGCCGCCGCCGCGCAGAGCAGCACCGGCCUCGGCCUGCGCCCCAACCACCAUCAUCUCCACGACCACGACCACGACCUCUCCGCCGCCGCUACGAAGAAACGGUGGUGGUCGCGGCUGUCGUCCACGCUCUGCUUCCGCCCGCACUUCCACGCCCACCCGCGCCGCGUCAUCGCCGCAGCCUACGCCGACGACGGGGACACACCGCCACGCCCGCUCGCCGCAGCAUCCCACACAGCAUCGGCGUCGGCCUACGUGCACCAGGCCCCGCCUGCCCACCCGGUCUUCGCCUUCGCCGCGCCGCCCUCGUCGCCGGCCUCCUCGCUCUUCCAGUCGGAGGCGCCCUCACCAGUCCUCCUGGACCUCCACGGGACCGCGGGCAGCUCGCCCGGCAUGUUCGCCGUGGGGCCCUACGCGCGCGGGCCGCAGCAGCUGGUGUCGCCGCCGGUGCUCUACUCCGCGCUCACCACCGAGCCCUCCACCGCGCCGCGCACGCCCCCUGCCACCACGGGGCCGUCCUCCCCCGAGGUCCCCUUCGCGCGCUUCGUCGACGACGGAGGCCACGAGCUGCUGUUCCACCACGCGGCCUACCAGCUGCGGCAGCAGGGCAGACCCCUCGUCUCGCCGGGACCGGAGCCGGGGUCCCCUUCCUCGUCGCCGCGGCUGUUCCGGAAGCUGCACCGGCGCAGCGAGCAGGGCUCGCUUCUCGACGGCCACGUCCCCGUCGCCUCCUUGUGUCAAGGCGCCGACGCCAGGGGCAUAGACGAUGAUGAUGAGGAGGAGGAGGAGGUGCCCGAUAGCGCCGGGGAGUUCGUGUUCGGCAAUGCCGACGGCCGUGGCGCCGCGCCGGAGGAGGAGAUAGUAGAAGGCAAGAACUGGCAUUUCUUCCCCAUGGCCACGGGUGAGCAGCACCCUAAUAAGAUACUAUGA